UACGGGGGGGGCAAGCGUUGUUCGGAAUUACUGGGCGUAAAGGGCUCGUAGGUGGCCAACUAAGUCGGACGUGAAAUCCCUCGGCUUAACCGGGGAACUGCAUCCGAUACUGGAUGGCUUGAGUUCGGGAGAGGGAUGCGGAAUUCCAGGUGUAGCGGUGAAAUGCGUAGAUAUCUGGAGGAACACCGGUGGCGAAGGCGGCAUCCUGGACCGACACUGACGCUGAGGAGCGAAAGCCAGGGGAGCAAAACGGGG
rnacentral:rRNA from 1 species